AACGAACGCUGGCGGCAUGCCUAACACAUGCAAGUCGAACGAGACCUUCGGGUCUUGUGGCGCACGGGUGCGUACCGCGGGGGAACCUGCCCUUAGGUUCGGAAUCACUCCCCGAGAGGGGUGCUAAUACAGGCUAAUUUCUUCGGCCCAAAGGUUUGUCGCCUUUGGAUGGGCCCGCGUUGGCUUAGCUGGUUGGUAUGGUAAAAGCCUAUCAAGGCGACGAGCCAUAGCUGGUCUGAGAGGAAGGUCACCCACACUGGGGCGGAGCCACGGUCCAGACUCUUACGCGAUGCAGCAGUGGGUGAUACUGCACUAUCGGCUGAAUCCUGAUCCAGUACGGCUGCUUGAGUGAUGAAGUCCUGAGGGUUGUAAAUCUCUCUUAUCCGGGAGGAUAAUGACGGUACCGGGAGAAUAAGCUCCGGCUAACUCCGUG
rnacentral:rRNA from 1 species